rnacentral:rRNA from 1 species
GAACCUCCGGUGUAUCGGUUAUGCUGCCAAGUGUACCGCCGAGUAGCCGCGUUCGGUUUGGAUAAGCGCUGAAAGCAUCUAAGCGCGAAGCCAUCCCCAAGAUAAGUCUUCCCUUGAGGGGCGUAGGAGACGACUACGUUGAUAGGCUGCAGGUGUAAAGACAGUAAUGUCAAAGCCGAGCAGUACUAAUUACCCGAACGGCUUUCUUAC